rnacentral:lncRNA from 1 species
GGUUCCUGGGGCAGGGUUUUGAUCAAAGCCUGUGGCUCUUCAGUUCAUUGUGUUCUCUUCAGCGAAGCUGUCACUGUUCUUUUUCUUUUACGUCUUUUAAGGGAAGUACUUCUUUGCACAGGAAUUCAGUUCAACAAACACUUUCUAGUGUCAAUUGUGGUAACUUUUUUGUGCUAAGUGCAAGAGAAAAAUAAAGAUGAAUAAAACAUAGUCUGUGUCCUUGAAGGGGUCACGAGUUAGUGAGAGAGACAGACUUGGACACGACUAAUGGUGAUGAAAAUCAGGCUGUGAUAAAUACUUUAAAAGAGAUAUUCAAAGAGAGAGCACUAUGGGAGAAUGGGACAGAGAAAACCAUGUUCUGGAUCUAAUGGGAAUGUUUGCAGCUUGUCACUUUUCUGAGAGAUGCUUCUCCAAAUAGUAUCCGAAGAAUGCCGACUUCCAAGCUUCUUCCACCAUGUGAACUGCUGACUUAGAAGCCAUAAUUUCCAACUAGAAAUAUAGGUGAAAGAAUACAUGGAUGAUCGUGCCCAUCUCUCAGGACUCAAGCCCAGAAAUGAGCUCUGCUGGGAGGAGCUCUUUUAUCUCAGCUGCUUCUCUGCCAUCAAAGCCCACUCAACUUUGAGUAGCUGCCCGCCCCCUCGCCAGUCCUGUCCUCCCCAGAAUCCUGCCUGGAGGUUUUAAUUCAGAGUCUCAAAAGACAAGCAAGGGGGUUGCUUUGAUUGAUCAGUCAAACACAAUCCCUUCACAAUGGUCUUUGGAGACUCAGGCUCUAGACAUGAAAGAUAAAAACAAGAGAUGCCAGCUUGGUUUAAGAUGGAAGU